AUUGAACGCUGGCGGCAGGCCUAACACAUGCAAGUCGAGCGAUCGUCGGGCAGGGGAGUAUUAUCUGUGAAACUGCCGGCUUUCGGGGGGUAACUACUGGUAACGAUAGCUACUACCGCAUACCAUCAUAGGUUCCCAGAUGGGAGUAUCUAGUAGGUGGGGUAAUGGCUCACCUAGGCGACGACCCCUAGCUGGUCUGAGAGGAUGACCAGCCACACUGGAACUGAGACACGGUCCAGACUCCUACGGGAGGCAGCAGUGGGGAAUAUUGCACAAUGGGCGCAAGCCUGAUGCAGCCAUGCCGCGUGUAUGAAGAAGGCCUUCGGGUUGUAAAGUACUUUCAGCGGGGAGGCGUUACCCGCAGAAGAAGCACCGGCUAACUCCGUGCCAGCAGCCGCGGUAAUUC
rnacentral:rRNA from 1 species